ACUCACAAAUGACUAACUUAACAACAGAAAUGUUGAGCUUAAUUGUGGUCAUAAGUCGAGCACCAACUGUACAGUUUGGGCAAUAGCCUAAAACAAGGUAGAUUAACAGAACUUCCAAAACAGCUAACUACAUAAUGUAUGAAGGACAUCGCCCCACCCCCAAAUACAACAUUUUAAAUAUUCUAUUGAACCAGUAUGGACCACAAGGGACAGUUUUACUGUAUUUUCAGCCAUUUUGAUCAAUUCAUAUUCAAAGCUGCAUCCACUUGAUUCACUUGUCAUAUAUUAUGUUUAUCUACAUGAAACAUCUCAGAUCAAAAUGUAGAUACAUAUAGUCUAUAGACGGCUUCUGAUAACCAAACAUACCCACAAAAUUCCAAAUAUGCCUACUAACUCCAAAAACAUUAUAGAGGUAGGUUGGCGUUGUACUUUUGGCUGGAAUUCUUAACUAAACAACACAUCUGAUGAACAGAGUGGCACAUAGGGUUCCACUUAUUAUUAUAUAUCUUUGUUCUUGAUCCACUAGAAUAUGCACUAGUUAGAACUGGACCAGGAAAACCAGAAGAUACAUACCCAUUUAACUAUACAACACAUUGCUGACUUUGGAUCGGACAUUUUCGACUUAAAAAACAUGCAUACUUCAAACUCUUGGAAAAAGACAAUAGAUAAGCGGCAUUUAAGAUUCUCUUUAAUAUACAAGCUUAACCCUUCUACUUGUCUCAAUACAGGGAAUAAAGUCAAUAGCUCAGUUCAGCCUGAAUAUCUAUACUUGUAUCUCCAUUUUGAGACUUGCAAAAAUUUCACACAUGGCUUGCCAAGGAUACAUACUUUUCAAACACAAAAAAAUGAGAUUUUACCAUUAACAUACAAUUAUUACUAUAAAUUCCUUUACGUCUAAAUAGACAUGUGUAAUAUGAUGACAGCCCUCCAUUUUGCCAGCCAUACAUCAGUAAAACCAAUACAUUUGGAUUUAGUAAAUUUUUCUACCUUCUUUCAAUGAGCCUAAACUAGCUCGAGCUUAAUGAACUUCAGCUAAGAAUUCUUUCAAAUACUGCUUAUGUAAUUUCUCUAAAUACAUAAAGUCUAGUAAGCUAAACAAGCUAAAAAGCCCCUGCUUUCCUGCCCUAUCUGAAUGUAUUCACUGCAUGCCACUACAAAGCAUAAAUUCACCGUCUCAAUCACAAUGAUUCAGAGGCAAUAGAACUGAUAACUCCUAUGGUAGCUAGCAGGAUAAACUACUUUCCUGGCUCUUUUAUGCACUGAUUCACAUUUACAAUUUUAGCAAAAAAUACAGUGCUAGCAUGAAGAUUAUACAGAUGAAAUGAUCUGAACAGAUAACAUUAUCAAUGCUAAAUUCAAAUCCAGCAAGAAUUCAUCAAGUACAGAACCUUUUAGAAAAGGGUUUAUAAAGGGUUUCAAAAUUAUAUUUAAGGCAGUGGCUAUUGCACAUAGAUACAUGAAAUUAGCCCAUAACUAACCCAUUAACCAUAAAUCAACCAUACAAGUUGGGUGUGCAUAGUCUACUGGGCAAUCAGAUUUUAGUCCAGGGCAUGCUUCAAAAUGGAAACCAACGGGUUGAUAGUCAAUCACCAUUCUCCACUUUCAUCUGUUCAAGCUGUGGAAUAUUUUAAUCAAAUAUUUGUUUAGCACAGCUGUUCCCAACCUUUCCAGCUUGGCAGCCCAGCCCGGGGCAGAGGGUGAGGUAUGAGUGGCAGGCACAUGAGUGCAGAUAUAUGUGUGCAAGCAGCAACCGUGUGCGCCCUCUACUUGCGCAAAUGGAGCUCUGUGCACAAGCAGAGGGUGCUUGCACUCAUGUGCAAAAUUCUAGCUAUGCAAGCCCGGGGGCGGGGCUUGUGCUUGCAUGUGAAGGUCCAUUCAUGUGAGUGGAGGGCAUUUGUGCCCAAAGCUCCAUUUGCACAAAUGCAGCUUCAUGCACAAGCACUCUCUACUCGCGCAAUGGAGCUUCACAUGCACACAUGUGCCAAUCUCUCCCACUGCCCAGUUUUGAACAGGCUGCAACCCAGUAGUGGGCCAUGGGCCAGAGGUUGGGGACACCUAGUUUAGCAGUUAUGGAGAAAGUUGAAACAUUGACUUGAGAUACUUACCAAAACUAUCACAGACUUUUCAUCUUCUCUGCAUAACUCCCUAAGAACCAGUCAAAGUGGUAAAAGAAAUUGCAUAAACAGAAUUGAGGCAACAGGUCUAUAGAAUUAAAUGACGAGCUACUACCACUGAAUUCUAUGGAGUAAUUUUUUUUCCUGAGUAGAAUAUGGUAUAAGAUAUAGGACUGCACAAUAAAUAAAACUAAAAUAUUCUAUCAAUUUUCUCUUUUUUAAUGUUUAAUUACAACGCAUUGAAUGAUCUUUAUUUGUAGAAACCCUUACAAUUUAUGAUGCUGAAUUUCAGCUAGUAACUGUAGCACUUACCUGAACUCACCCAUCUUUAUAUUUUUGGUUAUACUGAACUAUGAGGAAGGAUUACAAGUGCUAAAUAUUUUCCAUCUAAGAGGCAGCAAACACCUUAUCCAAAGCAAAAUACUGCUCAAGUAUACUUUUCAUGACAAUUUUUAUAUAUAAAAUAUAGAAGAAUAAAACUUUUAAGUAUUGUUUUACAGAUUCAUCUACCAUACAUCAUGGCUUUGGAUGUUUCUGAAUAUUCAGUACUAAGCUCCACAAGAAUUUUUUUCAAAAAAUAAUUGUUAAAAUCACACUUAGUGCAUCUAACACAUUUAUGGUUCCAUAUAACAUACAUUUUCAGUCAAUAUAUUUACCAAUAUUUGAGGCAUUAUAUCUCUUCAAAACAUGAAUUAUUUAUGUUUAAAGUAUUAGGUGUAUGCUUCUUAUUCUGAUGCAGCAUACUUUGAUAGAUACCUAAAAUAUGCCACAAACAGACGAAGCAGUUGAUUUUUUUUUUCUGAGAAAUCCUUUGGCAUGCUUUAGUAAAAGUAACUGAAAAUGUAGUAUCCGGGCUACUUAUUCAUAAAACCAAAAAUAAAAAGUAAUUUUAACAACUUUGCUGCAUAAGCACAUUGUUACAAGUAGAAACAUACUGGGACAUAGAUAUUUCUCAGAAUAUAUUAGUGCUUGUUAUCUGUUUUCUUUUUUAAAAAGAGCUCAUUUUAAAAAUAAAAUUUCAUUCUAUAGCUCUACUUAUUUUUAAGAAAUGAAUGCAAAUGUGUAAUCAAAAGCCCUAUUUAGACUUUAUGUGCACAAAAGUUUUAACUUAAAAAAAAAGAAAAGAAAAAUGCGAGCAAAUACUUGGAUCACCUGCUGGAGAAACAUCCAUUUUUAAGUUCAAUUGGGUUUUUUUUUAAAUUUAUUUUUUAGUGUAUGGAAUG